rnacentral:rRNA from 1 species
UUAAAGUCUAACCUGCCCACUGAGAAUUUAAAUGGCCGCAGUAUUCUAACUGUGCAAAGGUAGCAUAAUCAUUAGUCUUUUAAUUGAAGGCUGGAAUGAAUGGUUGGACGAAAUAUUAACUGUUUCAUUUUAAUUUAUAUUAGAAUUUUAUUUUUUAGUCAAAAAGCUAAAAUUUAUUUAAAAGACGAGAAGACCCUAUAAAUCUUUAUACUUUGAUUUUAUUAAUUGUAAAGAUUAAUUUUGUUAUUAAAAUUUUAAGUAUUUUAUUGGGGUGAUAUUAAAAUUUAAAAAACUUUUAAUUUUUAAAUACAUUAAUUUAUGAAUUUUUGAUCCAUUAAUGAUGAUUAAAAAAUUAAGUUACUUUAGGGAUAACAGCGUAAUUUUUUUGGAGAGUUCAUAUCGAUAAAAAAGAUUGCGACCUCGAUGUUGGAUUAAGAUAUAAAUUUGGGUGUAGCCGUUCAAAUUUUAAGUCUGUUCGACUUUUAAUUUCUUACAUGAUCUGAGUUCAAACCGGCGUAAGCCAGGUUGGUUUCUAUCUUUAAAAAAUUUUUAUAUUUUAGUACGAAAGGACCAAAUAUAAAAAUAAUUAUAUUUUAUGGUUAGAAUAUUAAUAAUUUGA